rnacentral:rRNA from 1 species
UGGGUCCGAGUUGUAAUUUGUAGAGGGCACUUCGGGCGCGCGACCGGCCUAAGUUCCUUGGAACAGGGCGUCAUAGAGGGUGAGAAUCCCGUACGUGGCCGGCCGUCACCCCGUGUGAAGUCCCUUCGACGAGUCGAGUUGUUUGGGAAUGCAGCUCAAAAUGGGUGGUAAAUUCCAUCUAAAGCUAAAUACCGGCCAGAGACCGAUAGCGCACAAGUAGAGUGAUCGAAAGAUGAAAAGCACUUUGAAAAGAGAGUCAAACAGUAUGUGAAAUUGUUGAAAGGGAAGCGCUGGCAACCAGACGUGCCCGCGGGCGAUCACCCGGCCUUCGGGUCGGCGCACUCGCCCGCGAUCAGGCCAGCAUCGGUUUCGGCGGCCGGACAAAGGCGCGCGGGAACGUAGCUUCCUUCGGGGAGUAUUAUAGCCCGUGCCGCAAUGCGGCCAGCCGGGACCGAGGACCGCGCUAAUGCUAGGAUGCUGGCGUAAUGGUUGUCAGCGACCCGUCUUGAAACACGGACCAAGGAGUCUAACAUCUAUGCGAGUGUUUGGGCGUAAAACCCAUGCGCGGAAUGAAAGUGAACGGAGGUGGGAGCCUUGGAUCUCCAUCGACCGAUCCUGAUGUCUUNGGAUGGAUUUGAGUAGGAGCAUACYUGUUGGGACCCGAAAGAUGGUGAACUAUACGUGAAUAGGGUGAAGCCAGAGGAAACUCUGGUGGAGGCUCGCAGCGGUUCUGACGUGCAAAUCGAUCGUCAAAUUUGCGUAUAGGGGCGAAAGACUAAUCGAACCAUCUAGUAGCUGGUUCUUGCCGAAGUUUCCCUCAGGAUAGCAGUAACGUUUUCAGUUUUAUGAGGUAAAGCGAAUGAUUAGAGCCCUUGGGGUUGAAACAACCUUAACCUAUUCUCAAACUUUAAAUAUGUAAGAAGUCCUUGUUACUUUGUUGAACGUGGACAUUUGAAUGUACCGUUACUAGGGGCCUUUU